rnacentral:SRP_RNA from 1 species
AAACAUUCUCACGUGUGUCUGUAGUUCCAGCUUAUUCGGGUGGCUGAGGCUGGAGGAUCUCUUGAGUACAGGAGUUCUGGGCUGCAGUGCGCUAUGCCGAUCGGAUGUCCGCACGAAGUUCGGCAUCAAUAUGGUGACCUCCCGGGAGCAGGGGACCACGAGGUUGCCUAAGGAGGGGUGAAACGGCCCAGGUCAGAAAUGGAGCAGGUCAAAACUCCCGUGCUGAUCAGUAGUGGGAUCGUGCCUGUGAAUAGCCACUGUACUCCAGCCUGGGAAACAUAGUGAGACUGUCUCU